rnacentral:rRNA from 1 species
ACUCCUACGGGAGGCAGCAGUGAGGAAUAUUGGACAAUGGGCGGGAGCCUGAUCCAGCCAUGCCGCGUGCAGGAAGACUGCCCUAUGGGUUGUAAACUGCUUUUAUACGGGAAGAAACACUCCCUCGUGAGGGAAUUUGGAUCGGUACCGUAAGCAAUAAGGAUACGGAGCUAACUGCCGUAGCCCAGCGCAGCCGCGGCUAAUAGCAGGAGGGAGUCCCAAAGCGUUUAUCCGGAAUCAUUGGGUUUAAAGGUCCGUAGGUGGACGAUUAAGUCAGAGGUGAAAUCUUGCAGCUCAACUGUAAAAUUGCCUUUGAUACUGGUUGUCUUGAGUUAUUAUGAAGUGGUUAGAAUAUGUAGUGUAGCGGUGAAAUGCAUAGAUAUUACAUAGAAUACCAAUUGCGAAGGCAGAUCACUAAUAAUAUACUGACACUGAUGGACGAAAGCGUGGGUAGCGAACAGGAUUAGAUACCCUGGUAGGCUGCUG